rnacentral:rRNA from 1 species
AAAUUGAAGAGUUUGAUCAUGGCUCAGAUUGAACGCUGGCGGCAGGCCUAACACAUGCAAGUCGAGCGGUAACACAGAGAGCUUGCUCUCGGGUGACGAGCGGCGGACGGGUGAGUAAUGUCUGGGAAACUGCCUGAUGGAGGGGGAUAACUACUGGAAACGGUAGCUAAUACCGCAUAACGUCGCAAGACCAAAGUGGGGGACCUUCGGGCCUCAUGCCAUCAGAUGUGCCCAGAUGGGAUUAGCUAGUAGGUGGGGUAACGGCUCACCUAGGCGACGAUCCCUAGCUGGUCUGAGAGGAUGACCAGCCACACUGGAACUGAGACACGGUCCAGACUCCUACGGGAGGCAGCAGUGGGGAAUAUUGCACAAUGGGCGCAAGCCUGAUGCAGCCAUGCCGCGUGUGUGAAGAAGGCCUUCGGGUUGUAAAGCACUUUCAGCGGGGAGGAAGGCGUUAAGGUUAAUAACCUUGGCGAUUGACGUUACCCGCAGAAGAAGCACCGGCUAACUCCGUGCCAGCAGCCGCGGUAAUACGGAGGGUGCAAGCGUUAAUCGGAAUUACUGGGCGUAAAGCGCACGCAGGCGGUCUGUCAAGUCGGAUGUGAAAUCCCCGGGCUUAACCUGGGAACUGCAUUCGAAACUGGCAGGCUAGAGUCUUGUAGAGGGGGGUAGAAUUCCAGGUGUAGCGGUGAAAUGCGUAGAGAUCUGGAGGAAUACCGGUGGCGAAGGCGGCCCCCUGGACAAAGACUGACGCUCAGGUGCGAAAGCGUGGGGAGCAAACAGGAUUAGAUACCCUGGUAGUCCACGCCGUAAACGAUGUCGAUUUGGAGGUUGUGCCCUUGAGGCGUGGCUUCCGGAGCUAACGCGUUAAAUCGACCGCCUGGGGAGUACGGCCGCAAGGUUAAAACUCAAAUGAAUUGACGGGGGCCCGCACAAGCGGUGGAGCAUGUGGUUUAAUUCGAUGCAACGCGAAGAACCUUACCUGGUCUUGACAUCCACAGAACUUUCCAGAGAUGGAUUGGUGCCUUCGGGAACUGUGAGACAGGUGCUGCAUGGCUGUCGUCAGCUCGUGUUGUGAAAUGUUGGGUUAAGUCCCGCAACGAGCGCAACCCUUAUCCUUUGUUGCCAGCGGUCCGGCCGGGAACUCAAAGGAGACUGCCAGUGAUAAACUGGAGGAAGGUGGGGAUGACGUCAAGUCAUCAUGGCCCUUACGACCAGGGCUACACACGUGCUACAAUGGCAUAUACAAAGAGAAGCGACCUCGCGAGAGCAAGCGGACCUCAUAAAGUAUGUCGUAGUCCGGAUUGGAGUCUGCAACUCGACUCCAUGAAGUCGGAAUCGCUAGUAAUCGUAGAUCAGAAUGCUACGGUGAAUACGUUCCCGGGCCUUGUACACACCGCCCGUCACACCAUGGGAGUGGGUUGCAAAAGAAGUAGGUAGCUUAACCUUCGGGAGGGCGCUUACCACUUUGUGAUUCAUGACUGGGGUGAAGUCGUAACAAGGUAACCGUAGGGGAACCUGCGGUUGGAUCACCUCCUUACCUUAAAGAA